UAAAAAGAAACACACAAACUUACAGAAUUUGAGAUUCCUACUACAAAUUUUGAAACUUUAAAUCAGCCAACAUACAGAUCGUCUCUUAUCUCGUGUACAAUUACGCAUUAAUUUUCUAAUUUUAAACUUUUUUCUUUCCUCUUUCUCCCUUCCUUCAGUUUACUUUCUGACAUUUGACAUAUUGAAAUUCUCGACUUGUCAAUAAUAUUGACAAGUCGAGAAUAAAUAUUUUACUAAAUUCCAGUCACAACAAUAUUUGUAGAAAUCAUAAUUGAUUUAGGACAUGAAAAAUAGAGGAGAAAAUGGGAUAUCACCAAGAUAUAUCUUGAACUGCAUAACCAUAGCUGUAUUACAACCAGAUAUUUUCGCUAUCACCUAAGAAACAGAGCUUAAAUGGCGGUUCCAAGCCAACAAUUGAAUUGUAUCACCUGUAAUUGAUGAGUUAUCUUGAAAAGUUUGCUGUAUCUAAAGUUUGGAAUUAGAAUGUCCCUUGGUACGUCGAUGAGAAGAGGAUAAGAUGUUUCAUCGUAACCUUUAACGCCAGGAAAAUUAUGACUUUUUGUAAGGAAAUUCCUGAAUAUUUCUUCCUUUGGAUAUGGAUAUGUGAAAAAAAUUGAAACGGUCUGAAAAAAUUUAAAGAGAGCCAAUAAGUAACUUAUAUACUCCUCAUUGACCUUCCAUAUAAUCUGAAGUCAUCAUAACUAUAAAGUAACCAUUGCACAGCUGGAAAAUUGACAUCAAAGUAAUGGAAGAAGUGAAAAUGAAUGAAAAAUCAGAAAGGGUAACAUCUACAAAAGGGAGGUUGAGUCAGCAAAUGAAAACACUAUAAUUCUUCUAGCAAUGGGGAGACUUGCUCUGGUAGGAGAGGAUUUUCAUCCAUAAAAUUGUUUCCCAGAAACAGGAAAAUACAUCGUACAUACAUACUUUCAUAAUUCUGCUGAACACCUUGGUCACUUUAACUCCAGACAAGUUUAUAAUUUGAAGAUCUAAUUUUAUAGUUUCUCCUUUCAAGAAUAAUCUUUUAUCUAUUACAGCGUUCAACAUAAUCCUACCUCUUGACAAACCACAACAAUUGCUGACAACUCUAUCUAUGCUGUACUCUGCCCAUAUCUGAAAAAAACAUAUUAAACAAGAUAUUUUGCUGGUCAAGCCUUUUGACCAACCAGUUUUAAACAACUUGCAAAAGAAAAGUUUCAGGGUUGGUUUGAGGUCUAAAUCCUCUGGUUAAAAUAAUAAUAUUGAUGAUUUGUAGAAUUAAGUAUUAAAUAAAUAUAAUAAUAAUAAGAAAAAAA